GGAUCUUAAAAAUUCAAACGCAUGUUCAUGGUUUCAUAAUUUUGCACUUGUUGAGAAGAUAUGAACUUGACUGUCAAUUGACUAUCUGUUUGUAUCUUCUCUUUAUAUUAAAUGUCUUUUUAUCAAGUUUGUCAUCUCCUAUUGCUUAUUCACAGAUAUAAUCCUUGCAAAAUAUGGCAUCAUUGCAUCUUUGCCCUUUUUGAUCUUCUGUAUUACUGAAUCGACAUUUUAUUUAUUAAGCCUUUGAGAAUCCUGUUAACUCUGUGAUGGAGAAUACAGAUUAUGCUUAGGAACUUGCCCUAUUUUUCAGUUGCAUGACUUUCUCAUUUUUGACUUAACUACUCAUGUCGUCCUUUUUCUCUUGUGCACAGCAAUGUUUAGGACGGUUGAACUUCAGAAGACUUCAAACAACAUCAGUAGGAUAAUUGAUGCUAACUGGAAUGAACAUAUGAAAACUUAUGUUGAAGCAGGGUGCAAACAACAGUCGCAAAGUGUUCAAAAUAUGUAUAAUUAAGCAGCAACCAAGAGUGCUACGGCUUUGGAUGACUCUUUUUGUGAAGAAAUGUUAAAAGAUAUUUCCUUUGAGGAAGAAAAGGAACCAUUGCCCAAGCAUCCUCAAGAUACAUCAAUAUCAGAAGUCAUGCUAAUGAAGAUCAUCAGUGAUAUGUUGAAGCUCGACUAUGCCAUGCAGAAAAAUAUUGUUUUGAACUUGAACAUUGGGACAAGUGUAUCUGAACUAGAAGGCUAUUGUCUCCUGUGGAAUCUGCAUCCAUACAUAGAUGAUGACAUUAUACAUCGGGCAUGGCAAUAUGUUCCCUCUCAUGAUCAUAGUUCACGAAAGUAGGCACCUCACUCUUGCGUGAGUGAGGUGGAAAUGAGGGUAAAUCAUGGCCUUUGGUUUCUUAAUGGAACUCCACUAUCACUGAUUCCUUGGAGGUCUUGCUUUUGUCUGCUGUUGAGUUUCUUGUGUGGAUUCAAAUAGUAGGUUUGCCCUUUGAUCUUGUUCAUAAUCAACAGCUAAAAUUUCUUAUAUUAUUCACA